GACGAACGCUGGCGGCGUGCUUAACACAUGCAAGUCGAGCGGUAAGGCCCUUUCGGGGGGUACACGAGCGGCGAACGGGUGAGUAACACGUGGGUGACCUGCCCUCAGCUCUGGGAUAAGCCCGGGAAACUGGGUCUAAUACCGGAUAUGACUCCAUGACGCAUGUUGUGGGGUGGAAAGCCUUGUGCGGCUGAGGAUGGGCCCGCGGCCUAUCAGCUUGUUGGUGGGGUGAUGGCCACCAAGGCGACGACGGGUAGCCGGCCUGAGAGGGCGACCGGCCACACUGGGACUGAGACACGGCCCAGACUCCUACGGGAGGCAGCAGUGGGGAAUCUUGCGCAAUGGGCGAAAGCCUGACGCAGCGACGCCGCGUGAGGGAUGACGGCCU
rnacentral:rRNA from 1 species